GAAAAUAGUUGGUGAGGCAAUAGAGGAGGGGCUAUGUUAAUAGCAGAGAUAGAAAAAACGAGAGGUGGAUGGUUCCAACUGCAAGGUCCACCGUAAAGGAAUUGGAGUCAGGGCCCAGGAGCCACAGGCCACUGCACUGGGGCAUCCCAGGAUUUGGAAUUCACCUGUGAGCUCAUGAGCUGAUGGAUGUUUCCAGGAGUACCCUGAAGACCACCCAGGUGGGAGUGUAAGAUAACCUUCCAGAUAAAGAGUUGCUGCUACCAAAAGAGUGCUGACACCAUCACAGUAUGUUCCCUUCUCAACCCUGGACACGGUUCAAAAGCAGCUAAAGCAGACAAGAAUCUGGGGCAGCCAAUAUUGUACCACCUGCCAAAGCUUGGCACAAACAAUCUGGAAGCCAAAAAUUGCACAUACUGUGUCAUGAAGGUGAAGGAGAAGGCUGGGGUAGGAAAGCUGGACCACACUAACCACAGGAGGAGAUUUCCGGAUCAGAAAGAAUGCCCUCCUAUCCACAUUGGGCUUCCAGUACCCAGUUACCCUCAAAGAAAAACUGACCAGAAGGGACAUCUUUCAGGCCUGCAAAAAGUCCACUGGGGCCUGCGGCCAGACCAGCCGCAGCAGGAACUGACUGGCCCAGGGAGUGGGGCAAGCAGCCAGGACAGCAGCAUGGAUCUUAUCAGCAGGACUCGGUCCCCAGCUGCUGAGCAGCUCCAGGACAUCCUGGGGGAGGAAGAUGGGGCUCCCAACCCCACCCUCUUUACAGAGAUGGAUACUCUGCAGCAUGACGGAGACCAGAUGGAGUGGAAGGAGUCAGCCAGGUGGAUAAAGUUUGAAGAAAAGGUAGAGGAAGGCGGCGAACGCUGGAGCAAGCCCCACGUGUCCACACUAUCCCUGCACAGCCUCUUCGAGCUCCGUACCUGCCUGCAGACGGGGACGGUGCUGCUGGAUUUGGACAGUGGCUCCUUACCACAGAUCAUAGACGAUGUCAUUGAGAAGCAGAUUGAGGAUGGUCUCCUGCGGCCAGAGCUCCGGGAGAGGGUCAGUUACGUCCUCCUGAGGAGGCACCGCCACCAAACCAAGAAGCCCAUCCACCGCUCCUUAGCUGACAUUGGGAAGUCAGUCUCCACCACAAAUCGCAGUCCUGCCCGGAGCCCUGGUGCUGGCCCGAGUCUACACCACUCCACGGAAGACCUGCGGAUGCGGCAGAGUGCAAAUUACGGACGUCUGUGUCAUGCCCAGAGCAGAAGCAUGAAUGACAUUUCUCUCACCCCAAACACAGACCAGCGGAAAAACAAAUUCAUGAAGAAGAUCCCCAAGGACUCAGAAGCGUCCAACGUGCUCGUGGGCGAGGUGGACUUCCUAGACCAGCCAUUCAUCGCGUUCGUGCGCCUCAUCCAGUCGGCCAUGCUGGGAGGAGUGACCGAGGUGCCUGUCCCCACCAGAUUUCUGUUUAUACUACUGGGACCUUCUGGGAGAGCAAAAUCCUACAAUGAAAUUGGACGUGCCAUUGCAACCCUCAUGGUAGAUGAUCUCUUCAGUGACGUGGCCUACAAAGCCCGCAAUCGGGAAGAUCUGAUCGCAGGAAUUGAUGAAUUUCUGGAUGAGGUCAUCGUCCUUCCUCCUGGAGAAUGGGACCCAAAUAUCCGGAUUGAGCCCCCCAAGAAGGUGCCCUCUGCUGACAAGAGGAAAUCUGUGUUCUCCCUAGCAGAGCUGGGCCAGAUGAAUGGCUCUGUGGGAGGAGGCGGCGGAGCUCCUGGAGGAGGCAAUGGAGGUGGUGGUGGUGGUGGCAGUGGCGGCGGGGCUGGCAGUGGCGGGGCCGGCGGAACAAGCAGCGGGGAUGAUGGAGAGAUGCCAGCCAUGCAUGAAAUCGGGGAGGAACUUAUCUGGACAGGAAGGUUCUUCGGUGGCCUGUGUCUGGAUAUCAAGAGGAAGUUGCCCUGGUUCCCAAGUGACUUCUAUGAUGGCUUCCACAUUCAGUCCAUCUCUGCCAUCCUAUUCAUCUACCUCGGCUGUAUCACCAACGCGAUCACCUUUGGUGGGCUUCUGGGGGAUGCCACCGACAAUUAUCAGGGAGUGAUGGAGAGCUUCCUGGGCACUGCCAUGGCUGGCUCCUUGUUCUGCCUCUUCUCGGGACAGCCUCUCAUCAUUCUCAGCAGCACGGGGCCCAUCCUCAUCUUUGAGAAGCUCCUCUUCGACUUCAGCAAAGGCAAUGGCCUGGACUACAUGGAGUUCCGCCUCUGGAUUGGCCUACACUCAGCUGUCCAGUGCCUUAUCCUAGUGGCCACAGAUGCCAGCUUUAUCAUCAAAUAUAUCACCCGCUUCACCGAGGAGGGCUUCUCCACCCUUAUCAGCUUCAUCUUCAUCUAUGAUGCCAUCAAGAAGAUGAUCGGUGCCUUCAAGUACUACCCUAUCAAUAUGGACUUCAAGCCAAACUUCAUCACUACCUACAAGUGCGAGUGUGUCGCCCCUGACACAGUGAAUACAACCGUGUUCAAUGCUUCAGCCCCAUUGGCACCAGACACCAACGCUUCUCUGUACAACCCCCUUAACCUCACAGCGUUGGACUGGUCCCUGCUGAGCAAGAAGGAGUGUCUGAGCUACGGCGGGCGCCUGCUUGGGAAUUCCUGCAAGUUUAUCCCAGAUCUGGCGCUCAUGUCCUUCAUCCUUUUCUUUGGGACAUACUCCAUGACCCUGACCCUGAAGAAGUUCAAAUUCAGCCGCUAUUUUCCUACCAAGGUCCGGGCCCUGGUGGCUGACUUUUCCAUUGUUUUCUCCAUCCUGAUGUUCUGUGGAAUCGAUGCCUGUUUUGGCCUAGAAACUCCCAAGCUGCAUGUGCCCAGUGUCAUCAAGCCAACGCGGCCUGACCGAGGCUGGUUCGUGGCCCCCUUUGGGAAGAACCCGUGGUGGGUAUACCCAGCAAGCAUCCUGCCCGCCCUGCUGGUGACCAUCCUGAUCUUCAUGGACCAGCAGAUCACUGCCGUCAUUGUCAACCGGAAGGAGAACAAACUGAAGGCGGUUCACCCUUUCAGAUGGGGUGGCAGGACACACCCACCUCUGCAAUCCUUGCAAGGAGCACCUCAGGCCCCUUCAGUAUCUUCUGGAAGGCAGGGGGGCCUUGAACCAUGUUCCACAGAAUGGUUGCAUCCAGGAGGAACUGGCUCCCCAGAAACUUCUCCCUCCCCCCAACCCCGCUCCUGCAGAAGGCUGCCGGCUACCAUCUGGACCUGUUCUGGGUGGGCAUCCUCAUGGCUUUGUGCUCCUUUAUGGGGCUCCCCUGGUACGUGGCUGCCACGGUCAUCUCCAUCGCCCACAUCGACAGCCUCAAGAUGGAGACAGAGACCAGUGCCCCUGGGGAGCAGCCCCAGUUUCUGGGAGUCAGGGAACAGAGAGUAACCGGCAUCAUCGUCUUCAUCCUGACGGGAAUCUCUGUCUUCCUGGCUCCCAUCCUAAAGUGUAUCCCCCUGCCGGUGCUGUACGGAGUCUUCCUCUACAUGGGCGUGGCCUCCCUGAAUGGCAUCCAGUUCUGGGAACGCUGCAAGCUCUUCCUGAUGCCAGCCAAGCACCAGCCGGACCAUGCCUUCCUGCGGCACGUGCCGCUGCGCCGGAUCCACCUCUUCACCCUGGUGCAGAUCCUCUGCCUGGCGGUGCUCUGGAUCCUCAAAUCCACGGUGGCUGCCAUCAUCUUCCCGGUCAUGAUCCUGGGCCUCAUCAUCGUUCGAAGGCUUCUGGACUUCAUCUUUUCCCAGCACGACCUGGCCUGGAUUGACAACAUCCUCCCAGAGAAGGAAAAAAAGGAGACAGACAAGAAGAGGAAGAGAAAAAAAGGGGCCCACGAGGACUGUGAUGAGGAGCCCCAGUUCCCUCCUCCCUCGGUUAUAAAGAUUCCCAUGGAAAGUGUCCAAUCAGAUCCCCAAAACGGUAUCCACUGCAUUGCCAGAAAAAGAUCUUCCAGUUGGAGUUACUCACUCUGAUUCUUCCUUCAGUGACACAGAACUUGACCGAAGCAUCACCUUGCACUUCAAAAUAUCCUGUCCAGCUUCACCUGCUUUCAGCUACUCACGGAACCCAGUGUUCAUGGUGCCACAGGUGAAGAUAGAGAUGGAGUCAGACUAUGACUUCACAGACAUGGAUAAAUACCGAAGAGAAACUGACAGUGAGACCACCCUCUAGGAUGAAGCAGCUUCUCCCAGAUGGGAGAUGGAGAGCCUGGCUUAGUCUUCACUGGGAAAGUCUUAACUUCUCUGUGCCUGUUUCCUUCUUUAUCAAACAGCGGGAGUCCGUCUGCCUAUAGAAAACUGGAGAUCUAUUGAUGAAAAGUAUUGCUUAGAUGCAAAGCUCUCCCCUUCCCUUUGUAGUAAUUAAAAUACCUAAAGCUAAAUAUUAUAUUUUAUUUUAAAAUGCAGUUCAGCAUAGAAAUUCUAACAUUUCUUUGGAAAUAAAAAAAUGCUUGUUUCCCCAAACCAUAGCUAAGAUAAAGGGGCAAUAGUCAAUUCAUAUUUAAAACAAAUAUCAAUUUAAAAUUGUUUAAAGGUUAGAUUUAAAUAUAGAUGUUCUCGAACAAACUUGUAAUAUACUUUUAUGUCACUAGACCAUCUUUGGAAUAUUUGGCAAUUCUGCAUAUUAAGAAAUGCUGAAAAGGUCCUAUCUUUUCUCCCUGUCACAUCCAAUUUCCUAAGGGUUAUAUGAAAAGUUUGAACCAGCCGGGCACAGUGGCACAUGCCUGUAAUCCUAGCACUUUGGGAGGCCGAGGCAGGUGAAUUGCCUGAGCUCAGGAGUUCGAGACCAGCCUAGGCAACACGGUGAAACCCCGUCUCUACUAAACUACAAAAAAUUAGCCGGGUGUGGUGGCAUGCGCCUGUAGUCCCAGCUAUUCGGGAGGCUGAGGCAGGAGAAUCGCUUGAACCCAGGAGGCAGAAGUUGCAGUGAGCUGAGAUGGCACCACUGCACUCCAGCCUAGGCAACAGAGUGAGACUCCGUAUCCAAACAAAAAAAAAGUUUGAACCAUCUGCAUUAUGGGCCUUGCUCCAGAAGUGUGACUGGGGCUUUCCCAGAUUGAAAAGCCAGUUCCAAAACUCUGUUAAUGAAAGAACCAAUGCAUCUGAGUGGAUAAAUGUUUCUAAAAUAAAAUAGUUCUUGUUAAAGUGAAAUUUGAAACCACAUGUUAAAUCAAAAUGAUCCUUUAAAUUAGUAUCACUGGUUUUUCAUACCUGGGAUCACAUUUCAUGAUACAUUUGGGUGGGUCCUCCCUGCAAAUUUUCAAUGUUUAUUCCCAAAGUCAAACUCCCAUUCAUGUGAACAAUACAGGUUAGACAGAGGUAAGGUCACAUUUUACAUUACAACUUUGCAAUAUUAAUCAACCUAGUACUUUAAAGGAAUGAUUGAAAACUAUUUGGGAAGAUAAAAACCAGUUUCAAUGAAGCAAACCUAUUCCUCAUGAAACUUAAGAUCAGUCAUUUUACCUUCAAUCCACAUUUAAUGAACACCAACCAUGUUGAUUUAAUGCCUACUACGACCCUGACAGCCACAGUGCAUCUGACACUUACUUUCUCCAAAACAACUAUGAUUUGAACCUUGAGUAAAUCACUUGAACCUUGAGGUUAGAGUUACUAUAUUUGCUCAAGAUGACAAAUGCAGGUGCUUUCUUUUUUAAAGAAAAAUGACAUUAGAUCAUUAACACCUUGAGUAUAGGACAGGUAAUUGCCUCUGUAAUUCCCAGAGUCUAGUGUAGUGCCUGGUCCAUAGAAAGCUCUCAAUAAGUGUUUGAUUACAUUUAAUCUCAGAGCUCCCUUCCAAGGGAUACUGCCAAGAGGUAAAGCUCCAAACCUCUACUCUUACUGAGAGCAGAAUUUCUUAGAAUUUCCAGAACCAUCUCCUAUGCUUAAGUAUAAAUUCUUGUCAGACACAGUGGCUCACACCUGUAAUCCCGCUACUUGGGAGGCAGAGGUGGGGGGAUCAGCAGAGGUCAGGAGGUCAAGACCAGCCUGGGCAACAUAGUGAGACCCAUCUCUAAACAAAUGUUUAAAAAUUAGCUAGGCAUGCUGGCACACACCUGUAGUCCCAGCCAUUUCAGAGGCUGAUGCAGGAGGAUCGUUUAAGUCCAGGAGUUCAAGGCUGCAGUGAGCUAUAAUCAUGCCACUGCACUCCAGCCAGGGAGACAGCUGGAAUCCAUGUCUUAUAAACAAUAAUAAUUAAUUUUUUAAAAAAGUAUUUAUCAUCCACACCAAUCCUGGGGAAGCUAACAAUCCACCCUUAACACAUUUCAGUUUUAAAACCUGGCUGAUCUGGAAUAGAACUUUGUCCAAAUUAAAUUGUAGAAAUGCUAUGGAUUCAAGAGUAAACCUGCUUGAUUAAUCAAACAAGCUGGAAAACUACUGUUAAUUUCUUUGUUGUAAAUUGAUCACUGUAAUUUUACCUUACAUGUCAUUUAUAUUUUGUAUAUACAUGAACAUUUUAAUUUCCAUAGCUUUUAACAGGUUGACAUAAUACUUCUCCAUGCAGUAAGUCAGUCAUUUUUUCCACUUGUAACUGUAAUUCAAUAAAAUUUAAUCCUGUCUGGUCA